AGCACGGAGGGCUGCGGCAGCAGAGAGCCCCGCUGUCAUUUUCGUCGGUAAAACACAACUGGCGUCUGAGCUCUUUUCCGAGUAAUAGCGGCACGGGAGAGGGAGCUGACACCAUCAGAGCGGAGGCUGGGACAGGUCCCAGAGCUCGAGCCGCACCAGCGCGGCGAUGGGUCUUCAGAGUGCUGUCCUGGAACCACAGCCGGGAGAACGUGAUGGAGCCCGCCGCUAUUUUGGGGAGGUGCAAAGUCGCCGUGCCUCGCUGCUCUGCGGCACGCGGCCGGUGCUGUUAGGAAAGCUCCGCGCAGUGCGUAAGCGCGUGAGUCCUCACUGGCUGCCGGCAGCCGCCGUGUCGACGUGCAGCUGUGCUGUCGCCAUCCCUGCAGGCACGUGCUCUGCUUCCUACGGCAGGAGGACGAGCUGCUCCUAGGGGGGGUUCCCUCGUUUCCCAGCAGUCCCUCCUGCACACUGCUGACUUACGCAGCUCCGGUGUUGGUUUGAAGGGUUCCAAGCUCAGCCGUCCACCCAGGCCGUGCACCAGGAGGUCUGGCUCCACAGCAGGGCAGCUGAACAAAACGUCCAUCCCACCUCAGCCACUGUGAUUCAUAGAGAAGUACUUUGGCACAAACCAACCUUCAUCAGCAAUUAAAUCAGGCGUCAAAGAUUCCAUGUCACAAGUUGUUCCAAGUUUACCUCCAUCUGUGUGUUCCUGUCAAGGGCAACCACACCAAUUCCACUGAAAUCAAACCACGUGGGCUUUGCAGGGUUUGCCUUUGGCCGGGCAGGUGUCUGCUCCAUCCACACAGCAGGAGGAAGAAGCGUGUGGGAGCGCAGAGAGAAAUGGGCUCAGCAUGAAACCGCAUGUGAGACUGAAGUGAAAACAACAAGGAAGUCGAGCGUAUAAGCAUGAAGCUCAGAUGCCAGUGGGAGCCACACCUGCCUUUCUGUCUGCUCUAAAGAGGGUGGUGAUGUUUUUUUGGUCAGACGUGGACAGAGGCCCGCAGAAACGACAGAGAUGCUCCCCUGCAGCUCCAGCAGCGCUGUGAGCAGGAGAGCCGUGGCCUUGUGGAGGUCACUGAGUUAAGUGCUGCUAAUUCCCUGUUUGUUGACCUCGGUGAGGCAGGAUUAGGGCAGGCCAGCAGUGCGAGGUGGCCUUGUGCUGCCUGCAUGGCACGCCAGGAAUGUGGCUGCUGGAGAGUUGGCUCUGCCUGGGUUUGAAGGGGCUGCGUGGGGCAGUGCUGGCCCUCAGUGCUCAGUUCUUUGUGCAGAGCUGGAGGCCGAGGGCCGUCCUGAGUGCUGUCCUGGCCAUGGGGCCUGGCUGAGUGGGAGAAAAUGGCUUCCUACCCCUCACUUCCCCAACUAAUAAAUGACAUUUAAC
ensembl:lncRNA